AAUGAACGUUGGCGGCGUGGAUUAGGCAUGCAAGUCGAGCGCGAACCCGCAAGGGGGAGAGCGGCAAACGGGGUAGUAACGGGUAGGUGACGUACCCUCGGGACGGGGAUAGCCACGGGAAACUGUGGGUAAUACCCGAUAACCUCUUAGGGCGUAAGGCCUUGAGAGCAAAGGUGUGAUUCCACCGGAGGAGCGGCCUGCUUCGUAUUAGCUAGUUGGUGAGGUAACGGCUCACCAAGGCGACGAUGCGUAGGGGGUGUGAGAGCAUGACCCCCACCACUGGGACUGGGAUACUGCCCAGACACCUACGGGUGGCUGCAGUCGAGAAUCUUCGGCAAUGGGCGCAAGCCUGACCGAGCGGCGCCGCGUGUGGGAUGAAGGCCCUUGGGUUGUAAACCACUGUCAGAGGGGAUGAAGUGUUCCGGAGCAAUCUCCGGGAUUUGACAUAGCCUCAGAGGAAGCACGGGCUAAGUUCGUGCCAGCAGCCGCCGUAACAC
rnacentral:rRNA from 1 species